rnacentral:tRNA from 2 species
UGGUCGGGAUAGCUCAGCUGGUAGAG